GGGUUAGACCCUUGGCAAACGGGUUAGUAAUACACAGGAACGUACCCAUCACACGGGCAUAACCCCGAGAAAUCGGGGAUAAUUCCCGAUGGUCUCUUCGGAGUAAAGUUUGUGGGCAACCACAGGCGGUGAUGGAGCGGCCUGUGCCCUAUCAGCUUGUUGGUGAGGUAAUGGCUCACCAAGGCUAUGACGGGUAGGGGGUGUGAGAGCACGACCCCCAACAUUGGGACUGAGACACUGCCCAAACACCUACGGGUGGCUGCAGUCGAGAAUAUUCGGCAAUGGCCUAACGGCUGACCGAGCGACGCCGCGUGGAGGAUGAAGACCUUCGGGUUGUAAACUCCUUUUCUGAGGGAAGAAUCCACUUUUGUGGAUGACGGUACUUCAGGAAUAAGAGGUUGCUAACUCUGUGCCAGCAGCAGCGGUAAUACAGAGACCUCAAGCGUUAUCCGGAUUUAUUGGGCGUAAAGGGUGGGUAGGCGGUUUAAAUAGUCAGAUGUUAAAUCAUUCGACUCAAUCGAAUGGCUGCAUUUGAAACGUUUAAACUAGAGACAGGCAGAGGCCAACGGAACUCAUGGUGUAGCAGUGAAAUGCGUUGAUAUCAUGGGGAACACCAAAGGCGAAGGCAGUUGGCUGGGCCUGAUCUGACGCUGAGCCACGAAAGCGUGGGGAGCGAAGGGGAUUAGAUACCCCCGUAGUCCACGCCCUAAACGAUGCGCACUAGGCAUUGGAAGUUUCGACCCUUUCAGUGCUCAAGCUAACGCGUUAAGUGCGCCGCCUGGGAAGUACGGCCGCAAGGCUAAAACUCAAAGGAAUAGACGGGGAUCCGCACAAGCGGUGGAGCAUGUGGUUCAAUUCGUCAAUAAGCGAGGCACCUCACCAGGGCCAGAAAUCCAGCUGCAGUCCUGCUGAAAGGCGGGAGGCCUACGAGGGUGCUGGACAGGUGCUGCAUGGUUGUCGUCAGCUCGUGCCGUAGGGUGUUCCAUUAAGUUGGGAAACGAGCGCAACCCCUACUGCGUGUUACAAGUGUCACGCGGAACUGC
rnacentral:rRNA from 1 species